rnacentral:tRNA from 1 species
AACAUAGCUCAACUUGGUAGAGCACUUGAUUGUGGUUCAAGUGGUUGCGGGUUCAAAUCCCGUUGUU